CUACGUGAAUGCAUUACGCGGUAACCGUAACCGUGGGCUGGUUUCCCAGAGAGAACCCGUGUCCUAGAUCUCUCUGGACCCCGGGAAACUCUCCUCAGACCGGGUUUCCUAGCUGUGGGCCUGGGAGAGUCGGCAGUGAGCAGCCCAGCGGUGGGCACCGCAGCCCGGCGUCCCUGGAACUUCCCAGGUGUCCCACUCCUCAGCCAGUUCUGCUCACCUGUGAGUCUGAACCAAGAGCCCUGGAUGGUGAAGAGAAGAAGCUGUAGCAAAGGAUCCAGAGUUGCCAUGGACACAGAGUCUCUUCACAGCAGUCAACUCUAACUAAGACAACAUUCAUCAAGGAGCUCCUUUCCCAAAACACAGUAUUGUUUCAACAUCUAUUUAUCUUGCCUUCUGCAUGGCACACAGUUAAGGAUUCCAGUCUAUAUUCCUGAGUCAGAAACUUAAAGAAGAACAAGAAGAAAGAUGAAUGCUUCUCUGCCUGUAGAGCUCAGAAGAGAUCAUUGGAUUUCAAAAAUUGGGAUGAAAAAUCUGUUGUGAAGUUUCAGGCAGGUGCUGGGAAACAACUUUGGAUUAUAGAAUCUAAACUGCAGACAAAUUUUCAAAUAGUGUUACGAUGGCAAGUCCUUCAUCUGCUGAUAAAGUCUUAGAAAACAUCAGAAAAUUCAUGAAGAGGAGAGACCUUAUAAAUGUAAGCAAUAUAGUAUAUAAUUCUAUACAAUGUAUUUACAAAAGCAGCAGUCCUUACCUUUGGACACAUUUUCUACAGCACUUCUAAAAGACAUUUGUCCUUGACUUUUUGCCAUAUUUCAUCUUUGUCAGAAAAUACCUCAUAUCCUUAGGGCGUUUUUAUUUUUUAACCUAGGAAAACACUUUUGUCUGGCACUACAUGAUAAACAGAUAGUUUUCGAUUAUAGGGUCUGUUAACAUUCAAGGAUGUGGCUGUGGACUUCUCAGAGGAGGAAUGGGAAUGUCUUGACCAUGCUCAGAGGAGAUUGUACUUGAAUGUGACAUUGGAGAAUUACAGAAAUCUAUUUUUUGUGGGUAAGAAUACUCUUCAUGUAGAAUUCCUGCAUCAUUCUUUAAAUUUUCCAAUUGUGUGUUUACAUAAACUCUCUGUCUAGAGACUCCCCAAAUAAGGGAAAUUCUGGUUACCAACAUAAAUUUUUCAUUGUUUUUCCUUUACAUUUCUUUCCAUUCUUUGGAAGAGGAACCAGUGUUAUAUUCUGUGUGAUCUUUCUAAACCUCUUAUCUAUUUUAAUCAGCUGUUCCAAUUGGUUAAUUUUAAUUUUACUCUUGCAUUAAGGUCUUCACUUUAUUAUGAAUUCGAAAAUUGCAGAGGCUUUUAAGUAGAGGAAUUGCUAGGGGUUGUGAUAAUUGUGUUGUUACUUAUUUACUUUUCAACAUGUGGCCUCUAUAUUUAAGACUGGCACAGCAUGGUCUUUAUAUUGUGAAUCCCGUGCCAGUGUGGAUUACAUAAUGAAUUUCUAGCUGACCAAAGAUACACAAUGUUACUCUGCUACAAAACAUAAAUAAGAGAAUUGAGAAACAUUGUUUAUAUAAUCCUACAGAGAGCUCUUUUCUGUAAUUUCCAAUCACCCUUUCAUCCUACCUUCUACAAAGUACAGUAUUUAGGAAUUAUUCGGCUAUUGCUGUACGCUGUCGUUUCUGAUAGAUGAGGUUUCAGGGUCUUUAGAUCAUCCUUGUAAUGACUGUGAAACAAGAAAGGCCUUUCUUGAAAGCUUUAUCCUUGAAAAUUAGUAAUUCACCUUAGUAAACUUCAGCAAACAUGGAACAUUGUCUUACUUAUCCAUUAAUCCCUGUCAUCUGUACACUUUUUCAGAGAAUCAUCACAUAUGUCAUAAAUAUGAGAAUGUUCAAGACACACAGCAUAUUGUUGAUGAGCAUGUGAAUAUCCAUGAGAAGUCUUAUAAAUGUCAUAAGCUUGGCAAAAUCAUUCAUAAAUCCACUGAAUGUACACUUUAUAAAACUAACCUUGAGGAUACAUCUAUUAAAUCAUCAAAACUAAGCAGACAUGAAACCGGAAACACCAGAGAACCUUGCCAAUCUAAAAACUGUAACUGUUUAAAUUUGUGUUCUGGCAUUAAUGUAAAUCAAUCAAUCCACAUAGGAAAGAAAAAACACAAUGAUACAGCAAUUGAUAAGGUUUUCCACUCUAAACAAAAACUCAUGCUGAAACAAACCAAUUGUGGAAAGAAACCUUACAAAUGUAGUGAAUGUGCCAAAUGCUUCACCAAGAAAUGUGAUCUUGGUAUUCAUCAGAGAAUUCAUACAGGGGAGAAACCUUACAAAUGUAGUGAAUGUAUUAAAUCUUUUACCCAGAAAUGCAAUCUUAGAAGACAUCAGAGACUUCAUACAGGAGAGAAACCUUACAAAUGUAGUGAAUGUGACCAAUGCUUUACCCACCAAUGUAGUCUUGUUAUUCAUCAGAGAAUUCAUACAGGAGAGAAAGCUCACAAAUGUAGUGAAUGUGACAAAUGCUUUACCCGCAAAAGUGACCUUAGAAGUCAUCAGAGAAUUCACACAGGAGAGAAACCUUACAAAUGUAGUAAAUGUGACAAACAUUUUACCACCAAAGGUGAACUUAAAAAUCAUCAGAGAAUUCAUAUAGGAGAGAAACCUUACAAAUGUAGUGAAUGUGGAAAAUACUUUACCCAAAAAGGGAGUCUUAUUAUUCAUCAGAGAAUUCAUACAGGAGAGAAACCUUACAAAUGUAGUGAAUGUGACAAAUGCUUUACCCAAAAAUGCAGUCUUAUUUUUCAUCAGAGAGUUCAUACAGGAGAGAAUCCUCACAAAUGUAGUGAAUGUGACAAAUGCUUCACCCUCAAAAGUGAUCUUAGAGUUCAUCAGAGAAUUCACACAGGAGAGAAACCUUACAAAUGUAAUGAAUGUGACACGUCUUUUAUCAAGAAAUCCAAUCUUAGAAGACAUCAGAGAAUUCAUACAGGAGAGAAACCUUACAAAUGUAACGAAUGUGAAAAAUCCUUUACCCACAAAUGCAGUCUUAGCAUUCAUCAGAGAAGUCAUACAGGAGAAAGACCUUACAAGUGUAGUGAAUGUGACAAACGCUUUACCAACAAAGGCUACCUUGUAAGUCAUCAGAGGAAUCAUACAGGAGAGAAACCUUACAAAUGUGAUGAAUGUGACAAAUGUUUUACCCACAAAUGCAGUCUUAGUAUUCAUCAGAGAUCUCAUACAGAAGAGAAACCUUACAUAUGUAGUGAAUGUGGUAAAUUCUUUAGCCACAAAAGUAGUCUUCACACUCAUCAGAGAAUACAUACAGUAGAGAAAAUUUACAAAUGAAGUGAAUGAGACAAAUUCUAUACCAAGAAUAUACCAAAGCUUACAUAUUGGAGAGAAACCUCACAAACAUAAUGUAAGAUGAAAGGUCUUUACCUGUAUUUCAGGUCUAAGAAAAUAUCUGAACAUUUAUAGUGGGAAAAAGUUUCCAACCGACAAAAAAUGACAUGUGAUUUAUCCAAGCAGUAUUCUUUGCAACACUUGAGGCUCCACACAAAGAAUUAUCAUGAAAACAAGAAACUUGUGAAAGUCUUUAUGUUCAAAUCUUACAAGCUAUGCUGAGAAAAACACUGAAAAUGUGACACUGAAUGAAAAUUUUCAUUGUAACUCUUUAAUUGUUUACCCUCAAAUAUUUCAUAAUGAAGACAAAAUGGGAAAGCCCAAAGAACAUGGACUUGUGUAACAGUUUCAUGGAUACUGAACUAAUCCAGUACAAAGGGAUUAAGGUGGGUAAUAACACCUCUCAAAAUAAGUAAUAAAGCCAAUACCAUUCUGUAUAUUUAUCUCAAAUGAAAAACUCAGAGAUGUUAUUGUAGACUGCUGUCUGUAUGCAGGAGAGGUCAGGCAAGAGAUAAGACUAGACCCUGUGAUUUGGCAGUGGAAAAGGAAGGUGGACUGAGAGUUCUAGAGUGGGGACAGAGAUGGACAGGGAGGGAGAGAGGAGGACAGAGAUGAAGAGACAAGAUGCAACUUACCGGAGAGGAAGAUGAACCUGAUCCACAUGGCUUGAAAGCGUUACAGGUAGCUAUGGAUAUCAUAGAAGAGCUAUAGAAUAAUAUAGGCAAUUUGCUCCAUCUAGGAGUGUAGCUUGUAUAUAUAUCAAAUGAGUUUUGAGUUCUUUGUGUGUGGGCAUUUGGUGGGGUUGAGAAUUUAUUGAUAUAAAUCUGAGUGAUAAAUAGC
rnacentral:lncRNA from 1 species